UACUGAGGGUGCAAGCGUUGCUCGGAAUCAUUGGGCGUAAAGGGUAGGUAGGUGGUCUCAUUUGUCUGGGGUGAAAGCCUUGGGCUUAACCCAAGAAGUGCCCCAGAAACGGUGAGACUCGAGUACUGGAGAGGGUCGUGGAAUUCCCGGUGUAGCGGUGAAAUGCGUAGAGAUCGGGAGGAACACCAGAGGCGAAGGCGGCGACCUGGACAGUAACUGACACUCAACUAAGAAAGCGUGGGGAGCAAACAGG
rnacentral:rRNA from 1 species